rnacentral:misc_RNA from 1 species
AAAUCUUCAAAGCAAACCUUUUGUUAAUUCAAUCGGUCUCUUGCUUUGGUAUUGGAGGUCUUUGCAGCUUCACACCUGCUCCUCUUUGUUUAUUAGCUGGAUCUCAGUGUUAUGCUUGGUUCCACUCGGCGUGAUAAGUUAUCUAUCGCUGAGGACACCGUAAAAAAGUGGCCAAGGUAAAUGCAGACGAACCGCUUCUAAUAGUCCAUUGACUUGGACAAUUAAAUUUUUAUG